GUGUUUGUGACAGAGCAGAUAUCCUCAACUGAACUGUACCGGAGCUGCCAUGCUACAUUAGCUCAAUAUAGAGAGACAGAGAGAAGGAGAGACGGAGGGAGACAGCGAGAGAGACAGAGAGAGCGAGAGAGACAGGAAUGGCGAGGAUGGAGAGGUGACGGAGAGAGAAAUAGAGAGAGAGAGGUGCAGUAUUUGCAUAAUGGUAUCUAGUGACGGUGAUGUAUUAAGGAUGGGAGGCGCACUUCUCGCUAUGGAAAAGCAACAUGCCACGGUGCUGCACAUUAUUGGAGCUAAACACAUUAAAUGUAAUUUGUGCGAGCCGCGGCGUCUGGUCAUUAUCAGUUAAACUAUUCUGUAGGGAAGAGAGAGGGGGAGGGGAGAGAGAGAGAGUGAGUCAGAGAGAGAGAAAGAGAAGAAUACGGAAUGAGAUGGAGGGAGAGAGAGCGAGCGAAAGAAUGGACAGCUGUAUUCCAUUUACAGUAAGUUGUUCCGUUGCUUGUGUUUCUGAGAGGAGAGAGAAGUGAACAGUGGUUUAAAGUACUUCAGUAAAAACACUUUAAAGUACUAAUGAAGAAGCUUUGGGGGGUAUCUGUACUUUACUAUUUAUAUUUUUGACAACUUCACUACAUUCCAAAAUAAAAUAACAUACUUUUUACUCCAUACAUUUUUCCAGACACCCAAAAGUACUUUUAACAUUUUGAAUGCUUAUCAAGACAGGAAAUAGAUCAAAUUCACUCACUUUUCAAGUGGUCAUGAGACACGAAACUGAGCUCAGGUGCAUCCUGUUUCCAUUGGUCAUCCUUGAGAUGUUUCUACAACUUGGAUUAGAGUCCACCUGUGGUAAAUUAAAUUGAUUGGACAUGAUUUUGAAAGGCACACACCUGUCUAUAUAAAGUCCCACAGUUGACAGUGCGUGUCAGAGCAAAAACCCAGCCAUGAGGUCAAAGGAAUUGUCCGUAGAGUUCCAAGACAGGAUUGUGUCGAAGCACAUAUCUGGAGAAGGGUACCAAAAAAUGUCUGCGGCAUUGAAGGUCCCCAAGAACACAGUGGCCUCCAUAAUUCAUAAUCGGAAAUUGUUUGGAACCAUCAAGACUUUUCCUAGAGCUGACCACCCAGCCAAACUGAGCAAUCGUUGGGGAAGGGCUUUGGUCAGGGAGGUGACCAAGAACCCGAUGGUCACUCUGACAGAGGUCCAGAGUUCGUGUGUGGAGAUAGGAGAACUUUCCAGAACGGCAACCAUCUCCGCAGCACUCCACCAAUCAUGCCUUUAUGGUAGAGUCGCCUCACGGAAGCCACUCCUCAGUGACAGCAUAUGACAGCCUGCUUGGAGUUUGCCAAAAGGCACUUAAAGGACUCUCAGACCAUGAGAAACAAGAUUCUCUAGUCUGACUUGGCCUGAAUGCCAAGUGUCACGUCGGCAGGAAACCUGGCACGGUGAAGCAUGGCAGCAUCACACUUUGGGGAUGUUUAUCAGUGGCAGGGACUGGGAGACUAUUCAGGAUGAAGGGAAUGAUGAACGGAGCAAAGUACAGAGAGAUCCUUGAUGAAAACCUGCUCCAGAGCACUCAGCACUUCAGAAUGGGGUGAAGGUUUACCUUCCCAAAGGACAACUUCCCUAAGCACACAGCCAAGACAACGCAGGAGUGUCUUUGAGGGAAGUCUCUGAAUGUCCUUGAGUGGCCCAGCCAGAACCCGGACUUGAACCCGAUCUAACAUCUCUGGAGAUACCUGAAAAUAGCUUUGCAGCGACACUCCCCAUCCAACCUGACAGAGCUUGAGAGCAUCUGCAGAGAAGAAUGGGAGAAACUCCCCAAAUACAGGUGUGCCGAGCUUGUAUCAUCGUACCCAAACUCUAGGCUGUAAUUGCUGCCAAAGGUGCUUCAACAAAGUACUGAGUAAAGAGUCU